rnacentral:rRNA from 1 species
UACAGAGGGUGCAAGCGUUGUUCGGAAUUACCGGGCGUAAAGCGCGUGUAGGCUGCGAUGUAAGUCAGGUGUGAAAGCCCUCAGCUUAACUGAGGAAGUGCACUUGAUACUGUGUCGCUUGAGUGUCGGAGGGGGUGGCGGAAUUCCCGGUGUAGAGGUGAAAUUCGUAGAUAUCGGGAGGAACACCUGUGGCGAAGGCGGCCACCUGGACGACAACUGACGCUGAGACGCGAAAGCGUGGGUAGCAAACAGG